rnacentral:lncRNA from 1 species
GGUGGGCUCAUCAACAAACCGACCACGGUCACCCAAAGCUCCGAUGGCUCCAAGGAGAGUGAAGAGGAUGAAGAAGAGAAGAAGUGGCUCAGCUUCAUAAAUUGGAAUUCCGGUUUCCAAAUUAAGUUGUUGUAGGAUUCCCUUUCCGGUUAUUCCUUCUCCCAAUAAAGAUGCCUACAAAUUACAAAACUCGUACAAAAUAUUAUACUAGUAUAUGUUGAGAGUUAUUUGACUUGUUUAAAUGAUUGAAACUUAUUUCCCAUAUGUUUAUCAACCAAAAAACUAUCAAGGACACGAGAAUUAGUGUAAAAACAAAAAGAAGUUACACAUCAUCCCUUUGUAUUAUAAAGUCAAAAAUACUAUUAUAUCUGAAUAAGUGUUCCGAAUAGAUGUUUUUCGUCUUCAAAGAAAAGGUUAUGGAGAGUAUACUUACAGCAAAACCAAUCAUAGCGACUCGGCCAACAAAGAGCUCAUUUUGCUUUGUGAAUCCAAUGCCUCCGGAUGUGCCGAAAAUACCAUCUUCGACCUUCGGCUUUGAGACUACGGCCUAAACAUUUUUAAAAAAAAAUCAUCAAAAAAGGGGAAAAGAAAGUCGGACAACAAAACAUAAAUAUAAAAAAUAUAGAUUGGAAUUAUAGGCAUUGUUCAUGUCGUUAACAUGAGCAUGACAACUAGUUGGAUGUGUAAUAAUAAUACAGCCUAACCUUAACCACUCUAUUUUAAAGAUUUGUGGCAUUAUACCAUAAUUGAAGUUUCAAAACUAAUAAACAAGUUUUACAAUAGUACAACAUGCAUAAAACUAAAACCAACCUUCUUGACAGGAGCUUUUGCCUUGGAUUUAAAGAGGGCAACCGGGCUUGUAAACUUUGUGGCCGGAGACAAGUUUGGAAGGUUGCGUGGGAGUAAGUGGUAGGAGAAAGGCUUAGGUUUAAGUGAUUGAAGCAAUGGUUGGCCGGAAAGUAUGGUGUUAGAUGUCAACAACAUUGCUUGAGCCAUUUCUAUUAAUGAUCGAUUUCCUAGCUCUCUUCUCUUCAAAAUAAAAGUUGAAGAAGAGUUUUAAUU